rnacentral:rRNA from 1 species
UCCAGAGAUGGAUUGGUGCCUUCGGGAACUGUGAGACAGGUGCUGCAUGGCUGUCGUCAGCUCGUGUUGUGAAAUGUUGGGUUAAGUCCCGCAACGAGCGCAACCCUUAUCCUUUGUUGCCAGCGAUUAGGUCGGGAACUCAAAGGAGACUGCCAGUGAUAAACUGGAGGAAGGUGGGGAUGACGUCAAGUCAUCAUGGCCCUUACGACCAGGGCUACACACGUGCUACAAUGGCGCAUACAAAGAGAAGCGACCUCGCGAGAGCAAGCGGACCUCAUAAAGUGCGUCGUAGUCCGGAUUGGAGUCUGCAACUCGACUCCAUGAAGUCGGAAUCGCUAGUAAUCGUGGAUCAGAAUGCCACGGUGAAUACGUUCCCGGGCCUUGUACACACCGCCCGUCACACCAUGGGAGUGGGUUGCAAAAGAAGUAGGUAGCUUAACCUUCGGGAGGGCGCUUACCACUUUGUGAUUCAUGACUGGGGUGAAGUCGUAACAAGGUAACCGUAGGGGAACCUGCGGUUGGAUCACCUCCUUACCUUAAAGAA